AAUGCCUGGGGAGAAGAGGAGGGGAAAGCUUAACUGGUAACUCAUCCCUGAGGCCACUGCCAUUGGACUCCCCUUUCCUGAUGCUUUCUGAGAGAGAGACUGAGGUGAAAUCUCCCCUUCCCCUUCUGUGUAAUAUCUGGCACGCCCCUCUAUGUAAGGAUGAAGUAAUAAAUGAAUUUCUGGAGCAAAGACAUGAAGAGAGACCCCGUUCCACCAACACACAGAGCAGUAACUGAUGAUCACCCCAGAGGAGCAGCACCAGAUUCCUGCACAGAACGGACAGAGCAUGCUCUGCACCCCAUCCCCCUACACUGAAAAUCCACCUCUCAGCAGAGCCCAAAAUAAAGAACUUAUCAAACUUCACACUGAGAAGAGCAGACACUAUCCUUGCCCUUGGCCUGAUAGACCAAGGAAAAAUCUCGGUGUGGAUUUGACUUACAUUUCUCUGA